rnacentral:lncRNA from 1 species
GUCGUUCUAGCUCAUUUGUUGGUUGAAAAAUGCUCAACAUUUCUGAAAAUCUACCAAAAUGCAUUUUUUGUCAUCUUUAGUCUUUUUUUAUUUGGUUUAAAUUUCCAGAAAUGCACUGUUAUAAUGUUGUUAAAAACUCAACAAUACACACGAGGCAGUGAUACUAUGUGAAUUUGAGUAUGGAUUGAAAGACUAAAUAAAUUUUAAAAGAUGGGUGAAGGAUACCAAAGGGACUGUCAAACUCAUAAAUCGAAAAUAAACUAACAACGCUAUGGCUAAAAAAUAAAAAGACAAACAGACAAAUAAUAGUACACAAGACACAACAUAGAAUACUGAAGACUAAGCAACACGAACCCCACACAAAAACUGGGGGUGAUCUCAGGUGCUCCGGAAGGGAAAGCAGAUCCUGCUCCACAUGUGGCAACCAUCGUGUAGCUCAUGUAAUUACAAUAUAUAAAAAAAGAAGAUGUGGUAUGAUUGCCAAUGAGACAACUCUCCACAAGAGACCAAA